UGAAGACAAACCGGUAUGUACGAACUGAACAAUGUGCAUGUUCUCGAUUAAGACACGUGCGUGAGUAGGACGUCCCGCACAUGUCAUUUCUAUCCUGUAAAGCAUAUUUCAUGUGAACAAAAGCCAACGUUCAUGAGAAAAAUGACUUUACCUCGUGAAGGAUAUAGCGCCAUAAUAGUAAACAUUACAUAAUCCUCUGCUCUGUGUGUAGUAGAACACCAGACUCACGCUGAGACAGACAGACAUGCGGGAUCCCACAGAACCAGCGCCCCCUGUCGGUGCGUCCUGAGCCAUGGGUGCUGAUCAAUCAUUCCAGCUCAGCCUAAAGAGAGAAGAAGAGUGGUGGACACUUGAAAAUCAGAGGUUGUUUUGAUUUGGUGAAAUAUACGGUAAAUAUUUACUGGAAUAAUUUCCUUUGUGUGUGUAUGUGUGUGUGCCUUUAUGCGCGUGCAUCAGUGCAGAGAGACAGAGAGGGAC